rnacentral:rRNA from 1 species
GCGAUUGAAACGGAUCAGGGCAAACUNAAUCCUUCGGGGAGAUGUGUUGUUAUAGGGCCUUUGUUCAAUGAUUUGAUAAGAACUGAAGUNGACUGGAACGUCAUACCAUAGAGGGUGAAAGUCCCGUAAGUNAAUUUGAUAUGAUUUAUAAGGUUCCUGAGUACCGUGCGUUGGAUAUCGCGCGGNAAAUUGGGAGGCAUCGACUUCCAACCCNNAAUACGUUCCNAGACCGAUAGCG